CCUACGGGCGGCAGCAGUGAGGAAUAUUGGUCAAUGGGCGCGAGUCUGAACCAGCCAAGUAGCGUGAGGGAUGACGGCCCUAUGGAUUGUAAACUUCUUUUGUCGGGGAGUAAAAUACGCCACGUGUGGCGUUUUGUGUGUACCCGAUGAAUAAGCAUCGGCUAACUCCGUGCCAGCAGCCGCGGUAAUACGGAGGAUGCGAGCGUUAUCCGGAUUUAUUGGGGUUAAAGGGGGCGUAGGUGGAUAGUUAAGUCAGGCGUAAAAUUUUGCGGCUCAACCGUAUCGGGGCCGUUGAAACUGGUAGUCUUGAGUACAGGAGAGGUAGGCGGAAUGCGUGGUGUAGCGGUGAAAUGCAUAGAUAUCACGCAGAACUCCGAUUGCGAAGGCAGCAUACCGGAGUGCAACUGACACUGAUGCACGAAAGUGUGGGUAUCAAACAGGAUUAGAUACCCUUGUAGUC
rnacentral:rRNA from 1 species